rnacentral:rRNA from 1 species
GUUGAACGCUGGCGGCAUGCCUUACACAUGCAAGUCGAACGGCAGCGGACCUUCGGGUGCCGGCGAGUGGCGAACGGGUGAGUAAUGUAUCGGAACGUACCUUUCAGUGGGGGAUAACGUAGCGAAAGUUACGCUAAUACCGCAUAUUCUGUGAGCAGGAAAGCAGGGGAUCGCAAGACCUUGCGCUGAUUGAGCGGCCGAUAUCAGAUUAGCUAGUUGGUGAGGUAAAGGCUCACCAAGGCGACGAUCUGUAGCGGGUCUGAGAGGAUGAUCCGCCACACUGGAACUGAGACACGGUCCAGACUCCUACGGGAGGCAGCAGUGGGGAAUUUUGGACAAUGGGGGCAACCCUGAUCCAGCCAUGCCGCGUGAGUGAAGAAGGCCUUCGGGUUGUAAAGCUCUUUCGUCCGGGAAGAAAUCGCAUCAGCUAAUACCUGGUGUGGAUGACGGUACCGGAAUAAGAAGCACCGGCUAACUACGUGCCAGCAGCCGCUGUAA